GUAGGUAACCUGCCUGGUAGCGGGGGAUAGCUAUUGGAAACGAUAGCUAAUACCGCAUAAUAGCAGUUGUUGCAUGACAACUGUUUAAAAGGUGCAAUUGCACCACUACCAGAUGGACCUGCGUUGUAUUAGCUAGUUGGUGGGGUAACGGCUCACCAAGGCGACGAUACAUAGCCGACCUGAGAGGGUGAUCGGCCACACUGGGACUGAGACACGGCCCAGACUCCUACGGGAGGCAGCAGUAGGGAAUCUUCGGCAAUGGACGGAAGUCUGACCGAGCAACGCCGCGUGAGUGAAGAAGGUUUUCGGAUCGUAAAGCUCUGUUGUAAGAGAAGAACGAGUGUGAGAGUGGAAAGUUCACACUGUGACGGUAUCUUACCAGAAAGGGACGGCUAACUACGUGCCAGCAGCCGCGGUAAUACGUAGGUCCCGAGCGUUGUCCGGAUUUAUUGGGCGUAAAGCGAGCGCAGGCGGUUAGAUAAGUCUGAAGUUAAAGGCUGUGGCUUAACCAUAGUACGCUUUGGAAACUGUUUAACUUGAGUGCAAGAGGGGAGAGUGGAAUUCCAUGUGUAGCGGUGAAAUG
rnacentral:rRNA from 1 species